UUGACUAUUUCACUUAAUUCUUACAAAAUCGAGAAUGAAGAGAACAUUCCUUGUGAUCUUUUUGCUUUUUGUAGCAGGUGAAAAAUUAUUUGUGUGUACAUAAAUCACUAUUACUAUGGUCUCGAAUUUUUUUUAAUGAGUAAAAUAAGAGGAUUAGGUGAGAUUAGAAAGGAAAAACGUGUUCCCAACUUUUUUUAUGCAAUGAAAGGAAAGGUUUACUACCCCCCCCCCUCUCACCCACUCAAAAUUAUCCAUCUAAUUUUGUGCUAAUUAUGAGGGAAAGCAAAAAAAAUCAUUAUGUUCCUUUCCUUCAAACCGGAGAACACCAUUGGUAUUUUCUACCUUACAUUCUCUUUUUCACUUUCAUUUUUUCAAAUUUUAAAAUCCAAGAAGAGGAUGAUUAUGUAUGCUAUGAAAAAACACUUGUAUUGGAAUUAGCAUGCAAGCAAGUUAAUGAAAAAUCCAGGGUAUUUUGGGCACUCUCAUACGGGGUUCACGAUAUACAUACAUAUACAUAUAUACAUAUAUANNNNNNNNNNNNNNNNNNNNNNNNAAUAUAAGAUAUAUAUAUAUAUAUAUAUAUAUAUAUAUAUAUAUAUAUAUGUAUGUAUAUAUAUAUAUAUAUAUAUAUAUGAAUUAACAUCUUCCUUUAUUUUAAUUUAUGGGACAGGUUUGAAGGACGUGACUUCGUAUUCACAAGAUUCGAUUCCACCAGAAUGUAACAGUUCUAUAGAUUGCUUUCAUCGUUGUGGAAUGUUUGGGUCUCAUGUUUGUAAAAAUCAUCAAUGUAUUUGCCUAAGUAAUGGUGAACAAAAGGACCCACACCCACAUGUGCAAAUCGAUGAAAAUGUAUAGGAAUAAUGUCAAAAUGCAAUAUCAAGUGAAAAACAAAAUGUAAUGAUUAAUA
rnacentral:lncRNA from 1 species